UCUCCAUUGAUGGAGAUGCACGAGCUCGACUCCGGAGCUGGACGACGAUGGCUGCGGCGGUGGAGGAGCUCGCCGUGUUUGGUCCGGUGACGUCGUGGCGAUGGAGGAGAAGCUCGGGAUGAUCUUUUCACGACGGAGAAUCUUGAUUCCACGGUGGAGACUUCGGCUCGGGCUUGAUUCGGCGAGAAAGAAGGAGUCUUGAGCUCGAGUAUGUGCAGGUUUGGAGCGGUUUACGGCAACGACACAUCGACGUCAUCGGGAAAUUCUACUUCAAAGAUCAAGCGUUGCAGCGGCCGAGUGGAGCGGUCAAGUGAACCCGCUGGAAAAAGACCCAUGUCCCUGUCCAAUAUCGACUUGAUGGAGCGGUCAAAGGUAACCGCUGUGGUCUCGGAGCGGUUUUGUGGAGCGGGAGAAAGAAGCCGCUCGGUAAAUCCAUUUGCGAAAUUAAAUUAUUGACCGGUUUAGUCCGGUUUGACUUUGGUUUGUGAGGUCAAACCAGCUCGAGUUUAACCACUCUAUAAAUAGAUUUAGACCUAAAAAUCUUGGACUUAUC
rnacentral:lncRNA from 1 species